GAAUGAAAUAAAUUAUUAUUAUUUAAAAUUUAAUUUAUUUUAAAAAAAAUAGUUUUAUAUUUAUUAUAUGUUAGAAAAAUAUAAUUUUAUUAUAGUAAAUUUGUAUUGUAAUAGAUAUUAUUAUAUACUAAAAAGAAAAUUUUAAAUUUUGUACCUUGUGUAUCAGGGUUUAUUAAAAAUUAAUUAAUUAUUUAAUAUUCUCGAAUUUAAAUGAGUUAAUUUAUUAUUAAUUUUAAUGUAGAAUAAUUAUUUAAAAUAAUAAAUUAGUAAUGAAACGUUAUUCGUAUUUAAAUAUAUCUAGUUUUUAAAGAAAAAAGUUUAAUUUUUUUUAAAAUAUAAAAUUUAUUGAUUUAUAAAUAAAUUUUUGUUUUAUUUUUAUUUUAAAGGGGAUAAGCUCUUUAAAAAAAUUAUAUAAUUAAUUGAAUUUUUAAUAAAAUAUAAAAUUAAAAGUAUUUAUAUAUGGUAAAAUGUUAUAAUAAAGUUAUUUAUUUAUUUAAUUUUUAUAAAAUUUAUAUAUGUUAUUUAAAAAUUUUUUAAAAUUAUAAUUAUAAAGGUAUAAUGAUAAAAUUAGUAAAAUUAAAUUUAUUUAAUUUAAGUUUAAUGAGAUGAAUAUAAGGAAUUCGGCAAAAUUUUUGUUUACCUGUUUAUUAAAAACAUGGCCUUUUGAUUAUAAUUUAAGGUCUAAUCUGCCCACUGNAAAUUUUAAAUGGCCGCAGUAUUUUGACUGUGCUAAGGUAGCAUAAUAAAUAGUUUUUUAAUUGAAAGCUGGUAUGAAUGAUUGGAUAAGAUAAAAGCUGUCUUAUAUUUAAUAAUUGAAUUUUAUUUUUAAGUUAAAAAGCUUAAAUAAAGUUAAAAGACGAGAAGACCCUAUAGAGUUUUAUAAAAUUUUUUAUUAUUAAUUUUUUUAUAUUAUAUAUUUUAUUAAAAAAUUUUUAUUUUGUUGGGGUGAUUUAAAAAUUUAAUUAACUUUUUUUUUAUUUUAACAUUUUUAUAUGUUUUAUUGAUCCAUUAUUAAUGAUUAAAAGAAUAAAUUACCUUAGGGAUAACAGCGUAAUUAUUUUUAAGAGUUCUUAUCAAAAAAGUAGAUUGCGACCUCGAUGUUGGAUUAAAGUUUAAUAUUGGUGUAGAAGCUAGUAUAUUAAGUCUGUUCGACUUUUAAAACUUU
rnacentral:rRNA from 1 species